rnacentral:lncRNA from 1 species
GGGUCUUUUACCAUGGAAAUCUUCCUUUCCGAAGGUAGAGAACGGUUCCGCAAAAAGUCUCAGCGGCUACUCCAUCAAUGUGCGAGAAGCGGAGGCGACAACUGUACUAGGUCAACCAGGCAAUGGAUGAGCUUUCACAAAGACCCAAGCCAACUCCUUCUCCCGAUGUUGGUUGGUACUGCCAUCUUGCUUUAUCUCAGUCUUUCAUAAACUCGGGCCAGAUGAGACCAUACAUUUUGCUCAACCAUCAGACGAAAUUGGGAGCAGAUCACAUCAAGCUGGACACUGAGACCAGAAUACAACCUCAGGGACACUGCACUGCACUACUGUUUGGACAAAAAUAGAUAAACACACUCCAUUCCUGUCUCUGCCUUUGCAAACCAAAUGAUUGGUAUUGGUAUAGCAACAAUAUUAUCUUAUCCUCGAAACGAUGGCAUCAUAGAGCCAAGUACCUUUGCACUUCUUCUGUUUCAGAAGUAGAAAGACGGGCACUGGAGCUGACCUCUCCUUUCCUCUGAAGCAUUAGACACACCCUGUUUUAGCUGAAAAUGUAAACAUCACAUUGUGUUGCUGAAGAAGAGGGAAGUGUAUCUGUGAUAGCUAUACUCUUUUCAAAUCUGUGGGCUACAGGCUGUGCUGUCAUAUUAUUCUUAUAUUAAAGGCUAGCUAUCCAAAAUAUAUCCAAAAUCAGACAGCUUUUCAACCUUCAUACCCUGCCAGUUUGUAAAGUUUCCCUGAAUGUCCAUAAUCAUGAGAUGGAAAGCAGAAUUCUUUGGUGCUACUAUGCUUCCAGUUUGUGUGUGCUUCCAUCUUUAUAUCCUCAUAUAACAGAUGCACAUGGC